UGCCAGCAGCCGCGGUAAUACGGGGGAUGCAAGCGUUGUUCGGAAUUAUUGGGCGUAAAGCGUGCGUAGGCGGACUAUUAAGUCUGAUGUGAAAUCCCUCGGCUCAACCGAGGACCUGCAUUGGAUACUGGUAGUCUUGAGUCCCGGAGAGGAUAGCGGAAUUCCUAGUGUAGAGGUGAAAUUCGUAGAUAUUAGGAGGAACACCAGUGGCGAAAGCGGCUAUCUGGCUCAAAACUGACGCUGAGGGACGAAAGUAUGGGUAUUAAAUGGGAUUAGAUA
rnacentral:rRNA from 1 species